rnacentral:rRNA from 1 species
GACAGAGGAUGCAAGCGUUAUCCGGAAUGAUUGGGCGUAAAGCGUCUGUAGGUGGCUUUUUAAGUCCGCCGUCAAAUCCCAGGGCUCAACCCUGGACAGGCGGUGGAAACUACCAAGCUGGAGUAUGGUAGGGGUAGAGGGAAUUUCCAGUGGAGCGGUGAAAUGCGUAGAUAUUGGAAAGACCACCGAUGGCGAAGGCACUCUACUGGGCCAUUACUGACACUGAGAGACGAAAGCUAGGGGAGCAAAUGGG